UACAGAGGGUGCGAGCGUUAAUCGGAAUUACUGGGCGUAAAGCGUGCGUAGACGGCUAUCUAAGUCGGGUGUGAAAGCCCCGGGCUCAACCUGGGAAUUGCAUUCGAGACUGCAUAGCUAGGGUGCGGAAGAGGGAAGCGGAAUUUCCGGUGUAGCGGUGAAAUGCGUAGAUAUCGGAAGGAACAUCAGUGGCGAAAGCGGCUUCCUGGUCCAGCACCGACGUUCAGGCACGAAAGCGUGGGGAGCAAACAGG
rnacentral:rRNA from 1 species